rnacentral:rRNA from 2 species
UUUUGUAAAUGCUCGUGAUGAGACCUCA